CAGAAUGUAUCAAGUCUGGCAGUGCAUUGUUAGCUGGCUGUUGUUUCUGAUGUGUGAACAGCUGCUAGGUGCACUCCAGACUCUUUCAUUCAAC
rnacentral:pre_miRNA from 1 species